UAAAUAUUGCAUCUAAAAGCUAAAGUAUUGCUUGCAGAAGACUAAAUACUGCUUUCAGAAGAUUAAAUAUUACUUCUAGUAAUCUAACACUGUUCCAGGAGACUAGAUACGGCGUCCAGAAGACUAAAUAUUGCUUCCAGCAGACUAAUACUGCUACCAAAAGACUAAAUACUGCUCUGAAAGACUAAAUACUGUAUUCAGAAGACUAAAUAUUGCAUCUAGAAGCUAAAGUAUUGCUUGCAGAAGAUAAAUAUUGCUUCCAGUAGUCUGACACUGUUCCAGGAGACUAGAUACGGCGUCCAGAAGACUAAAUAUUGCUUCUAGCAGACUAAUACUGCUACCACAAGACCAAAUACUGCUCUGAAAGACUAAAUACUGUAUCCAGAAGACUAAAUAUUGCAUCUAGAAGCUAAAGUAUUGCUUGCAGAAGAUUAAAUAUUGCUUCCAGCAGACUAACAUUGCUACAAAAGACUAGAUACGGCGUCCAAAAAACCAGAUAUUGUUCCUAGGAUACAAAUAUUGCUACCAAGAGACUGGAUACUGCUCCAGAAAACUUAAUAUUGCUUCUAGAAACCAAAGUAUUACUUCAGAAGACUAAAUGCUGCUUUUAGAAGACUAAAUAUUGCUUCUAGCAGACUAAUACUGCUACCAAAAGACCAAAUACUGCUCCCAGAAGACUAAAUAUUGUUUCUAGCAGACUAAUGUUGCUACCAAAAGAUCAAAUACUGCUUCCAGAAGACAAAAAAUUGCUUUCAGAAGAUUAAUACUGCUACUAAAAAAUUAAAUGCUGCUCUAGAAGGCUAAAUACUGCUUCCAGAAGAGUAACAUUGCGACUAAAAGAGUAGAUACUACUUCAAGAAGACUAAAUACUGCUAGUAGAAAGCAGAUAGUGACGGUAAAAAACAAGAUACUACUAAUAAUGACCAAAAUGAACUUCCUCCUUAUAGAAAAUCAGACAUUGUUAACUAAAUACUGCUUCCAGAAGAUAAAUACUACGUCUACUAGACUAAAUAUUGCUUUCAGAAGACUAAUACUGCUACUAAAAGAUUAGAUGCUGCUCUAAAAGGUCAAAUACUGUUUCCAGAAGACUAACAUUGCGACCAAAAGAGUAGAUACUGCUUCCAGAAGACUAAAUAUUGCUUCCAGAAGACCAAAUACUGCAGCCAAAAGACCAGAUACUGCUAGUAGAAAGCAGAUAGUGAUGGUAAAAAACAAGAUACUAUUAAUUAUGACCAAAAUGGACUUCCUCUUUAUAGAAAAUAAGACGUUAACUAAAUACUGCUUCUAGAAGACCAAGCAUUGCUUCCAGAAGAUAAAUACUGCGUCUACUAGGCUAAAUAUUGCUUGCAGAAGAGUAAUACUACUACCAAAAGAUUAGGUGCUGCUCUAAAAGGCUAAAUACUGUUUCCAGAAGACUAACAUUGUGACCAAAAGAGUGGAUACUGCUUCCAGAAGACUAAAUAUUGCUUUCUGAAGACCAAAUACUGCAGCCAAAAGACCAGAUACUGCUAGUAGAAAGCAGAGAGUGAUGGUAAAAAACAAGAUACUAUUAAUAAUGUCCAAAAUGAACUUCCUCUUUACAGAAAAUCAGACAUUGUUAACUAAAUACUGCUUCCACAAGAGCAAGCAAUGCUUCCAGAAGGUAAAUACUGCGUGUACUGGACUAAAUAUUGCUUUCAGAAGACUAAUACUGCUAUCAAAAGAUUAGAUGCUGCUCUAAAAUGCUAAAUACUGUUUCCAGAAGACUAUCAUUGCGACCAAAAGAGUAGAUAUUGCUUUCAGAAAACUAAAUACUGCUUCCAGAAGACCAAAUACUGCAGCUAGAAGACCAGAUACUGCUAGUAGAAAGCAAAUAGUGAUGGUAAAAAACAAGUUACUACUAAUAAUGACCAAAAUCAACUUUCUCUUUAUAGAAAAUCAGUCAUUGUUAACUAAACACUGCUUCCAGAAGACCAAGCAUUACUUCCAGAAGAUAAAUACUGCGUCUAGUAGACUAAAUAUUGCUUUCAGAAGACUAAUACUGCUAUCAAAAGAUUAGAUGCUGCUCUAAAAGGCUAAAUACUGUUUCCAGAAGACUAUCAUUGCGACCAAAAGAGUAGAUAUUGCUUUCAGAAAACUAAAUACUGCUUCCAGAAGACCAAAUACUGCAGCUAGAAGACCAGAUACUGCUAGUAGAAAGCAAAUAGUGAUGGUAAAAAACAAGUUACUACUAAUAAUGACCAAAAUCAACUUUCUCUUUAUAGAAAAUCAGUCAUUGUUAACUAAACACUGCUUCCAGAAGACCAAGCAUUACUUCCAGAAGAUAAAUACUGCGUCUAGUAGACUAAAUAUUGCUUUCAGAAGACUAAUACUGCUAUCAAAAGAUUAAAUGCUGCUCUAAAAAGCUAAAUACUGUUUCCAGAAGACUAAUAUUGCGACCAAAAGAGUAGAUACUGCUUCCAGAAGACCAAAUACUGCAGCUAAAAGACCAGAUACAGCUAGUAGAAAGCAGAUAGUGAUGGUAAAAAAUUAGAUACUACUAGUAAUGACCAAAAUGAACUUCCUCUUUAUAGAAAAUCAGACAUUGUUAACUAAACACUGCUUCCACAAGAGCAAGCAAUGCUUCCAGAAGAUAAAUACUGCGUCUACUGGACUAAAUAUUGCUUUCAGAAGAUUAAUACUAUUACCAAAAGAUUAGAUGCUGCUCUAAAAGGCUAAAUACUGUUUCCAGAAGACUAACAUUGCGACCAAAAGAGUAGAUAUUGCUUUCAGAAGACUUAAUACUGCUUCCAGAAGACCAAACACUGCAGCCAGAAGACCAAAUACUGCUAGUAGAAAGCAAAUAGUGAUGGUAAAAAACAAGAUACUAUUAGUAAUGACCAAAAUCAACUUCCUCUUUAUAGAAAAUUAGACAUAGUUAACUAAACACUGCUUCCAGAAGACCAAGCAUUGCUUCCAGAAGAUAAAUACUACGUUUACUAGACUAAAUAUUGCUUUCAGAAGACUAAUACUGCUACUAAAAGAUUAGAUGCUGCUCUAAAAGGCUAAAUACUGUUUCCAGAAGACUAACAUUGCGACCAAAAGAGUAGAUACUGCUUCCAGAAGACCAAACAUUGCUUCCAGAAGAUAAAUACUGCGUCUUGUAGACUAAAUAUUACUUUCAGAAGAAUAACAUUGCUACCAAAAGACAAGAUAUUACCAGUGAAGAUCAGAACCUGCUUAUAGAAGAUUAGACAAUUAUGACAGAAGACUAAAUACUGUUUGCAGAUGAUUAGAUACUACUCGUGAUGAUAAAAAACAAGAUACUACACCAACGAAAACCAGUAUCUGUUUAUAAGAAAUUAGACAGUGAUGGCAGAAGACUAAAUACUGUUUCCAGAUGAUUCGAUACUACUAGUGAUGGCAAAAGACAAGACACUACGUGAGGACCACAACCUCCUUAUAGAAAAUUAUACACUGAUAGCCAAUAUAAACAACAGUGAUUAAGAAGAAUAACAUUAAAAUUUCAAAAUAUUUUAAUAAACCUGCACAAUUAAAAUCAUUCAAAGCGGGCCUGUUUUUACUAUUCAACAGUAAAAAAGAGAAAUAAUUUGUUGAAAAUAAUAUAAGAUGACGCCCGUUUUUUCUAAUAGCUUUCAUCAAUUCUUGUAGAUUUAAAAUAUGCUUAAAUCAAACUUUCUCACUAUCAACUCAUUUUAAUCAGCAAAAAUUGACGUUUUGAAAUGUCAAAAAUAAGAUUUAAUUCGAGUAAUUACCGAUAGAUGGAGUGACAUAUUACAACAUAACCUAUAAUAUACAUUUAACGUAAUUUAAAAGUU